rnacentral:lncRNA from 1 species
GAUAAUGCCUUUUAAUCCUGACUACUGAAUCUUCAACAUCCACCCUACCCUUCUGCAAGUAGAGCACAAAUUCUACAAGACCAAGGACUAUGUUCAUGUCUUGUUCCCUGCACAGUGCUCGACACCUAAUAGGGACAUGAUAAAUAUUUAUGGAAUGAAUGAAUGAACUUAGUUAAUUCAAGACAUACUUCAAAGACCCUUUACAAAACCCAAUUGACACGGUUCAAGGACUAGGCAUGAAAGACAAAAAUUUUUUUUCACAGGAUGGAUGAGACUUGGCAGCAGUAUAUAUGGACAAAAAUCUGAGAAGUUUUAUUUUUCUCAAGCUUAAUGUGAGAAGAGGGCCAACUGUGCAAUUCAUCUGCUAAGUAAGCUAAUGCCAUCUCAGCCUAAAUUAAUAACUAAUAGAAGCAGUGUGUCCAGAGGAUAGGAAAUAAUGGUUCCCCUGCAGUUUUUACUGGUUAGACCACACCUAGAGGAAGGUUGUACAGGUCUGAGUGCACAUUUUAGGAAGAAAUACUGACAAAAUGAAUAGUCCAGAAACAACAUCUCAUAGGUGACAGCAGAAGGAAUUGGGAAGCAUGAGCACAUGCCUGGCAUUGCCAACCAGAGUAAGAGAGGUAUGUGGAGCAGUCCCACAUCCCAUCACCUUGGCCAACCUCAGCAGAGCCACCAAUUCAGCCAUCUCAGAUGCAUGAGCAAUGAACACUUGUUUUACACUCCUGAGGUUUUGUGAUUGUUGCCUAGUUCAAUUGCAAUAAUAGAUAAAUGACAAAAAGAGAAACAGUGGAAGAUCUAUUAAAUACAAGUGGAAGCAAAAUAGUUCCUUUUCCUUAGAAGAAGGGAAUGGAAAAACCGAUUCAAAUGGCUCUCAGGAAGAAAACUUUGGAUUCAGAAAAUUGUAGUUUUAUAAGGAUUGAAGCCAACCAUGAAAAGAACAGGCUUCAGUGAAUUUGAGCUUGGAAACCAACAAAGCUGGCCACCACACCACAGCUUCUCCUGAACCUGACUUGCUCUGGCCUAAUACUACUGAGCUUGAGAAUUCACUUAGGUCAAGGAUAUUAUCUGUUUUGUUUUUACGUCACUAUACAUUGAGAUAACAGUGCAGGAUCUGGUGCAUAGUAGGUAUGCAAUACAUAGUAGGUAAACCAAAAAUGAAUGGAGGAUGCCAAAACUGGCCUCCAGUCCCUGGAUCCAAGAGGGAAGAUGGCUGAAACUGGCUCAAGAAUCUUUCAUCAGAGGUCACCACCAGCGCACCAUGAAGUCUGAUCCACUGACACCAACAUCCCCUUGAAAUCAGGCUCCCUUCCUCCGUUCUUUCAUUGCUAUCAUUCAGAGUUACCACUUUCUUUUAAUCACCAUGAAGAGGGAUCCCACGUCCUUUACCAGGCCAUGAACAAAAGGAAGCAGGCUGGUUUUGGCCUGCAGGGUAUAGUUCCUUGACCUCGGCUUCAUCCAAACACUCUAAUUUCAUCUCGUAUUUGUAUCCUUGGAGUGCCCAAUGCCAGCAAUACAGCCUACCCCUGGAAGAUGCCCAGUAUUGACCAUUUGAAUUUGAUAAAAGAGAUCCAGAACUCAAAGAUCCUUGAUGCUUUUUAUCAAUUCCACUAAACGUCAAGGACAGGAAAUAAAAACAUUUUUCUCUUCCGACUCAAACACAAUACCCCUUUGUGAAGCUGCUAAAAAUCUAGAAAUGGCAAAUCUGGGAAAAUUUUCAGAAACCUGGCCAAGAUGUGAAGACCCAGACUGUGGCGCUAUGUUUGGGACUCAGAGGUCUGACACGGGAGCUGAGACUCAGACCAAAGAAUUAAGAUAGUAACAACAUGUUGUCAAUUAAUCAUGCUCAUAAGGUGGUCAAAAUGACCAUGAGGACACAUUUCAGUCUACCGGACAGUAUGCCAGCUUUCAUUCUUGUGCUCAAAGACAAAGAAGAAAGCUUUAAUUUGGUGCAAUAUGGGCCGAAAGUUUAGUUGUCAUAUAUAUUAAACUCAGCCUACAGUCUUACUUGAGUAAAUUUCAUGAAAAAUCCAAUUUUCUUAAAUGUAAGUUAUGUUAGGGAAAAAACACUAUCUCCACAGGAGCUCAGAGAUGUCCCUAACAAUACACUCAAACAUAUUUCAUGUAUUUUAUGUUUUUAUGUUUAAACUUAUAAAUGUAAAUUAAUAUAUUUCUAUUAAAAUUCAUAAAAUAUAUAUGUACAUUUAUAAUAUAAAUUAAAUACCUUCAGCUGAGUUAGACAUUCUGUGCCUUGAAGGACACCAGUUAUUUUAGGAACAAAUACUCUUUAUUGAGGAAGAAAGUGCUGGAUCCACCAAUGGAAUGAACACCCACAUCUCUUAGACAUAGUUCCAUGCGUUACCUUCUUCCCCACAAACCGCAUGUUUGUGCAAUUAGCUUUCAUCAAAUCAACAUAUUAGUCACCAAAAAACAUGCUGAUGAAAACAAAGACAGGCUAGUUGCUUAUUUCUUGAAAGUGAACAGUUCCUUUGGCCAUUAUAUAAGAUAAUCAGUUUUGCCAGCAUCGAAACAGAUAAUGCUUUAAAAAUAAUGUGAGGACAAUGUUACAAUUUUUUCAGUUCUUAUUUUCAAUUUAUUGGCGUUGACUCAUAUGAGCCCUAUAUAGCAAGUUGUUCUCUCUUACUGUAGAUACCUGCACUUACAUACAUAUAAGACCAUCCUCUGACUUCAGGAAAUACUGAGGUCAGGUUCCCUGGCAGUAGGGAAGCUGCUAUGAUGGGAUGGAUUUCUGGAAACAAUUGAAAUAUCAACGUGGAAUAAACUUUAUAAAUACUUAUCUUAAGGGAGUGUUGGCAGAAGCAAGGAAAAUGGGUCAACUUCAGGAAAUAGCACAGCCUAUUUAAAGGCAAAAAAAUCAAGAAACAAAAGGGAGUUCAGUUGCUGGUAAAUCAGUUUUCUCUUUCUAACAAGUUUAUUUAUAUGCAUUUUUCUCUUCUUCCUAUAAGGAAGGUAUUUUUUCCUUCCUUUAAGUUUUUACUGUUAAAUUCACACAUUCACAUUUUUUUAGUCCUUAAUUACCCUGACUGAGUAAUUUGAGAGCAGAAACCUCUGGCCAUCAGGAAAAAAAAAAAGAAAAGAAAGAAAGAGAGAAAAACACAUGUCCAAAAAUUCCCUAAGCUUUUCCAUAUUCCUAAAAGCAAAAUGUAACACUAGCAGUGUAAAUAAAAUCAAUACACUGAGAACUCCUAAGGCUGGUUCUCAAUGGAACCAGCCAUUCCAUUCUUGGAAUGAAAACCUGAAACGGAAACGAGGAAGAUGAAAUGAGAUUCUACCUAAAAAGACUCCAACAGAUUGAGGGCUAGUGUGAAAAUCCCAGGAUGUGUAAUGAGGGGAGGGGAGUAAGCUCUAUGGUCAGAGCUCCCAUCCAGCCCAGAGUGGCCCAGCAGAAGUCAGGCAAACACAGACGCAGUCCACAUCGCUGCUCUACCACAAGCAUGGCUGAGUUCGGCUUUUCAGAUGUCGGACCUGGGGUGGGCCCUAGGAGGGGCUCAGAAACCAGAGCGACUUUUCAAGUUGUGUCCUUUAUGGUAUUUGCAGGGAAAGGGCCAACAAUAGCCAAGGGGCUGUUUACCAAAGUCAUUCUCCAGCACCUCCCACAGAAACGCUUGUGGAAAUCACUGCCAAAGCUUACAUGGGAAUCAAACAGAAGGAACUGAGCACAGCCAUGUAAAACAUGCCCCAGUCAUUUCGUAAGCUCUGUUUCUUCACAGAUGGCUGCUGUGGAAGAAAUGACUGCUUACAGAAAGCAGAGAUCCAAAAAUUAAUCCAGCCACUGGGAUGAAAGCAGGAUGAAAAAUGAUCCUGUUCUAUAAUUCACAUUGGUGAUUUACCAGGUCUGGGCUAUAAGACAUCUAGGGAUAAAACUGCUACUCAAAAGCAGAUCUGGCAAAGGUGAGGAAACGGUGUGAAGGGCAGGUACUGCUGAAGAUCUCUAGAGUCAAAAAAGGAUUCACCAAAUUAAAAUAGAAUGUUUCACAGACCAGUAAAGCCAGAUGGGAGUUGGUAGCUCAUACAUAUCCUUGUAUUUCCAAGAGAUGGGAGACUCCAGACUCUGAAAGGGACCAAACACAAGCUCACCUGCUGCGGCAGUACCCAGAGCUGAAAAGAGAGGAUGCCAAAGGAAUCCAGCCUUCCCGAAUCUACACUCUCAAGGCUGGGCUUUGGGACUCUAAGGGUCUAAUAAGCUAUGGCUCUUAUUUUAUAUCAUUACAACAACUGCUUUGGUUCCUUCAUUCUUUCACUACUUACCUGUGCUUCUUUACAUUUCACAGGUUGAUGAUACAUUACUGCUUUGGAUUUCCCUUCAGUUUCAUGGUUCAAUCCAAUGCCCACGUCUACAUUUCUUUCACUGCCUUUAUACUGCUGUACAGUUAGACUUCAUCUGCUACUCCACACACACACAAAUCUCUCCCUACUUCCUCACUCCUCAUUUCCUGUUGGGAGCUAAGUUUAAAGCUUCAUCCUUCUAGAUCUACUCAACAUUCCUUUUUAAAAGGUAGAGAACAAGGAACGUAGCAGCUGUGUUCGCUGAGCCAUUGAAUUCACACUGCCCAGCAGCCCUUGAAAGUCAACUGCAGCGUCCAUCAGGGCAAGGACUGACAGUUUGUUUCAACACUGAAUAUGGUUAGUACCUGGCAAGGAGCAGGAGUUCAAUAACUCUUGGCAAUAAUUCGUCAUCAUUUUCCCCCUGAAAUCCAUUUUAUUAUUCUUUUUUUUUCUUUUCAGGCUAGAGUGCAG